CCGAGAAGGAAGAGAACGAAGGGAAAAAAAAAAGUUAAAAAAAGAGAGGGAAAAGUAAUAGCGGGGGAUCGAGCUACACAAAGCAAAGCUCUCUCUCUGUAUGCAAAUCAGCUAAACCCAAAAGAAGAGAAAAAUGCAGUCGAAGACAGAUUAGAAGAAAAAGAAGAAGAGCGGAAACAGAGAGAAAGCGCGAAGAAUCGAAAAGCCCAAGUGAGUUUGAAGGCUGUUGAUUUAUCUGCAAUUGGUGAAGUUGGAGAAGGUCAGAACUUCACAAAUCUCUGAACCUUAAUCUCACACUCUCCAGUUUAGUUUAUCGCUCUUUCGUUGUAAUUCCAAUUUCAUCUGUAAUUGGUGCUCUGUUCUUAACUCAAUCUCCCAGCUCAACUAAUCUUUCCUUCUCAACUUCUGUUAUCUAAAUUUGAAUUUUCCAGCUUUUAAAUUCUCUCAAAAUUUUUCAAGCCGGGUUGGGGGAAGGGGGUGUGUUCAAUCGCUCUAGUGCUAUACUUUUACGGUUCAUGCAGUUACAAGCAAUCAACUUUGAUGAUUCGAACUUAGGGUUUUGAUUUAUUUUGAUUUUGAAUCAAUUUGGUGUGAUUUCGGGGUUUUUGAUAAGCUUAACUACUGAGUUUGAUCUCUAGGGUUUUGGCUUUUGUGCAAAGAUGAGAUUUGGGUUUGCAUUGUAUAUUUUCUGGGCGGGUGAAUUUUGGGUCGUUUGGAAACAGAAAUNNNAACCAUUUUCUGGUUGGCUGUGAAGGUUUUAACCAUUCUGUGGAUGGUCUGUUUAUUUUGAGAUAUACAGAGCUUGAGAGUUUAUAUGCAUUGAAUUGAUAUGCGGGUGGGUGAAUUUUUGGUUGUUUGGAAGCCAGUAUAACAGUAUUUUGUGGUUGUAUUGAGGGGC
rnacentral:misc_RNA from 1 species